rnacentral:rRNA from 1 species
AGCGAACGCUGGCGGCAGGCUUAACACAUGCAAGUCGAGCGCCCCGCAAGGGGAGCGGCAGACGGGUGAGAAACACGUGGGAACGUGCCUUUUGGUUCGGAACAACCCAGGGAAACUUGGGCUAAUACCGGAUAAGCCCUUACGGGGAAAGAUUUAUCGCCAAAAGAUCGGCCCGCGUCUGAUUAGCUAGUUGGUGGGGUAAUGGCCCACCAAGGUUACGAUCAGUAGCUGGUCUGAGAGGAUGAUCAGCCACAUUGGGACUGAGACACGGCCCAAACUCCUACGGGAGGCAGCAGUGGGGAAUAUUGGACAAUGGGGGCAACCCUGAUCCAGCCAUGCCGCGUGAGUGAUGAAGGCCUUAGGGCUGUAAAGCUCUUUUAGCAGGGAAGAUAAUGACGGUACCUGCAGAAAAAGCCCCGGCUAACUUCGUGCCAGCCGCCGCUGUAA